UACGGAGGGUGCAAGCGUUAGUCGGAAUUACUGGGCGUAAGGGGUGCGUAGGCGGGAAUAUAAGUCAGAUGUGAAAAACUGAAGCUCAACUUCAGCCCUGCAUCUGAAACUGUAUUUCUAGAGGAAAGGCGGAGAAAACGGAAUUCCACGUGUAGCGGUGAAAUGCGUAGAUAUGUGGAAGAACACCAGUGGCGAAGGCGGUUUUCUAGCUUCCUCCUGACGCUGAGGCACGAGAGCAAGGGGAGCAAACAGG
rnacentral:rRNA from 1 species